CACCGUUUACUAGAAAAUCAGUAUCCUACUCGGAUAACUGUGGCAAUUCUAGAGCUAAUACGUGCGAAAAAGCUCGUUUCGCAAGAUUCGAGCGCAUUUAUUAGAAUAAAAACCAAUCGGGCCCAUAAAGCCCGUAAUUUGGUGAAUCUGAAUAACUUUGCCGAUCGCACGGUCCUAGUACCGGCGACGUAUCUUUCAAGUGUCUGCCUUAUCAACUUUCGAUGGUAGGUUAUACGCCUACCAUGGUAGUAACGGGUAACGGAGAAUAAGGGUUCGACUCCGGAGAGGGAGCCUGAGAAACGGCUACCACAUCCAAGGAAGGCAGCAGGCGCGCAAAUUACCCACUUCCAGAACGGAGAGGUAGUGACGAAAAAUAACGAGACAGUCCUCUUCGAGGUCUGUCAUCGGAAUGGGUACAAUUUAAAUCCUUUAACGAGGAUCUAUUGGAGGGCAAGUCUGGUGCCAGCAGCCGCGGUAAUUCCAGCUCCAAUAGCGUAUAUUAAAGUUGUUGCGGUUAAAACGCUCGUAGUUGGAUCUGCGGCCUCGGAGAACGGUCCCCCGAAAGGGCGGUCACUGUUACUCCAAGCCUAAAUAUCUAGUCUACUCUACGGUGCUCUUAACCGAGUGCCUAGAGUGACUGGAACGUUUACUUUGAAAAAAUUAGAGUGCUUAAAGCAGGCGAAAUAGCCUGAAUAAGGUGCAUGGAAUAAUGGAAUAGGACCUCGGUUCUAUUUUGUUGGCUUUCGGAGCCCGAGGUAAUGAUUAAGAGGAACAGACGGGGGCAUUCGUAUUCCGGCGCUAGAGGUGAAAUUCUUGGACCGCCGGAAGACGGACGACUGCGAAAGCAUUUGCCAAGAAUGUUUUCAUUAAUCAAGAACGAAAGUUAGAGGUUCGAA
rnacentral:rRNA from 1 species